CAAAUUCUGAUCCCUCUAGCCAUGACAUCUAUUAGAUCUAGAUUAGUUUGUCUCCUAUGUCUAGGAUCUAUCUUAUGGGCCUUGUAUUUGUUGGCUAAUUAACUCUUGGAUAGUUUCUAUCCAUGACUUUUGUAUUUUGAGUUGACUCAUUUAUAUUGGGACAUCUUUUGUAUUCAGUCACUUUUGAAUAUAUAUAUAUAUGUGCUUUGACUUUCAAUGAAUGUCUAUGAAUGUGAUC
rnacentral:lncRNA from 1 species